GGGGCUGAUUCUGGAUUCGACGGGAUUAGCGAAGCCCAAGGUGCACGUCGAGGUGCGGUAGGCCUCGUAAAUAAACCGCAAAAUAAUAGUCGCAAACGACGAACAAUACGCACUAGCAGCUUAAUAACCUGCAUAGAGCCUUCUCUCCCCAGCUUUCGCUCGUAAGACGGGGAUCAAGAGGAGUCAAACCCAAACGAGAUCGUGUGGAAGCCUCUGCUUGAGGAUCGAAGCAUUAAAUUGAAUCAAGCUAGUUUGUUAAUGGCGUGUCUGUCCGCAGUUAGCUUACGAAAUUAAAGAUCAGACUAAACGUGUAGUACUGACGGUAGAGUAAUUUCGGACGGGGGUUCAAAUCCCCCCAGCUCCACCA
rnacentral:tmRNA from 1 species